rnacentral:tRNA from 1 species
GAGGGUAUAGCUCAGUGGUAGAGUGCACGCUUAGCAUGCAUGAAAUUGUGGGUUCAAUCCCCAGCACCUCCA